rnacentral:rRNA from 1 species
AUUGAACGCUGGCGGCAUGCCUAACACAUGCAAGUCGAACGGCAGCGCGGGCUUCGGCCUGGCGGCGAGUGGCGGACGGGUGAGGAAUACAUAGGAAUCUGCCCAGUCGUGGGGGAUAACCCGGGGAAACCCGGACUAAUACCGCAUACGACGGUGACGUGAAAGCAGGGGACCUUCGGGCCUUGCGCGAUUGGAUGAGCCUAUGUCGGAUUAGCUAGUUGGCGGGGUAAAGGCCCACCAAGGCGACGAUCCGUAGCUGGUCUGAGAGGAUGAUCAGCCACACUGGGACUGAGACACGGCCCAGACUCCUACGGGAGGCAGCAGUGGGGAAUAUUGGACAAUGGGCGCAAGCCUGAUCCAGCAAUGCCGCGUGGGUGAAGAAGGCCUUCGGGUUGUAAAGCCCUUUUGUACGGGAAGAAAUCAUCCGGGUUAAUACCCUGGGUGGAUGACGGUACCGUAAGAAUAAGCACCGGCUAACUUCGUG